rnacentral:rRNA from 1 species
CAGUCGCCACGGGAAUACAGAGGGUGCGAGCGUUAAUCGGAUUUACUGGGCGUAAAGCGUGCGUAGGCGGCUUUUUAAGUCGGAUGUGAAAUCCCUGAGCUUAACUUAGGAAUUGCAUUCGAUACUGGGAAGCUAGAGUAUGGGAGAGGAUGGUAGAAUUCCAGGUGUAGCGGUGAAAUGCGUAGAGAUCUGGAGGAUUACCGAUGGCGAAGGCAGCCAUCUGGCCUAAUACUGACGCUGAGGUACGAAAGCAUGGGGAGCAAACAGGAUUAGAUACCCGCGUAGUCCCUGUCUCUUAUAC